rnacentral:misc_RNA from 1 species
AACGCACGAGACCUGCGGACCUGCGGAGGGAUCAUUAGUGAACGCCCUCACAGGCUUAUAACUAUUCCAAACCUCUGUGAACCGUGCCCUUCGGGGCUAUUUUACAAACAUGGUGUAAUGAACGUCAUAUAUCAUAACAAAACAAAACUUUCAACAAUGGAUCUCU